rnacentral:lncRNA from 1 species
GAAGAUAUUCCGAGAAAACUUCGCGAUGAAGAAACGUCAAUCUUCAAAAACGUCGAGCUUCUAAACCGUCGUGCUUCAAAAAUGUAAUUCUUCCAAAACUGCCGUAUGAUCAAUCUAAGACAUUUCUAACAAUGGUAGAGCAGCUUAUCUCAACUCAUGCUUCACUCACGAUCCAUUCUUCGAACUUCUCGUACUUCAAAUUUCCCGAUCGAUUUGUAUUGCCCACGACUCAACCACAAAGAUACUCGACCAUUCUCUCUCUCUUUUCUUUUCUUCUUUUUUUUUUAACGGGUUUCUACAUUCUCCCCCCCCCUUAAUAGAAUUCGUCCUCGAAUUCUUAGUUGCGCAAUUGCUCGUCAUCACAACAUUCUCCACUCGUCUCCAUAACCUCUUUACUCUGUCCACAACUGUUCCUUGAGUAUCCUCUUCAAGGUCUCCACAAUCAUCUUCAUAUCUCAUCGCUGGAAUGAUCACUGAGUCAUCCUCUUUCUUUUACUCUUCCAUAACACCCUCAUUGCCCAUGAUACUAUCUUGUCCAGAUUCCUCAAAUCCUUUCUUGAUCUUCGUCUUCCCAAAUACUGAUGAAGUCCUUCCCCAACGAAGUCUUGUUUCCUCCCAUCUGUCCAGUCCAUACCACUGUCCAGUUCUCUGAAUCUGCCUCCACUCUUUCG